AGUUUGAUCCUGGCUCAGGAUGAACGCUGGCGGCGUGCCUAAUACAUGCAAGUCGAACGAAUCUCUUUUAGAGAUGAGUGGCGAACGGGUGAGUAAUACAUAGGUAACCUGCCCCUGUGCGGGGGAUAACAGGAGGAAACUCCUGCUAAUACCGCAUAGCCAUGAGCACCGCAUGGAGCUCAUGCCAAAUAUCCUUUAUGGGAUAGCGCAGGGAUGGACCUAUGGCGCAUUAGCUGGUUGGCGGGGCAACGGCCCACCAAGGCAACGAUGCGUAGCCGGCCUGAGAGGGCGGACGGCCACAUUGGGACUGAGACACGGCCCAGACUCCUACGGGAGGCAGCAGUAGGGAAUUUUCGGCAAUGGGGGAAACCCUGACCGAGCAACGCCGCGUGAGCGAAGAAGGCCUUCGGGUCGUAAAGCUCUGUUGUAAAGGAAGAACGGCGCAUACAGGAAAUGGUAUGCGAGUGACGGUACUUUACCAGAAAGCCACGGCUAACUACGUGCCAGCAGCCGCGGUAAUACGUAGGUGGCGAGCGUUAUCCGGAAUCAUUGGGCGUAAAGAGGGAGCAGGCGGCCGCAAGGGUCUGUGGUGAAAGACCGAAGCUAAACUUCGGUAAGCCAUGGAAACCGGGCGGCUAGAGUGCGGAAGAGGAUCGUGGAAUUCCAUGUGUAGCGGUGAAAUGCGUAGAUAUAUGGAGGAACACCAGUGGCGAAGGCGACGGUCUGGGCCGCAACUGACGCUCAUUCCCGAAAGCGUGGGGAGCAAAUAGGAUUAGAUACCCUAGUAGUCCACGCCGUAAACGAUGGUCACUAAGUGUCGGGGGUCAAACCCCGGUGCUGCAGUCAACGCAAUAAGUGACCCGCCUGAGUAGUACGUUCGCAAGAAUGAAACUCAAAGGAAUUGACGG
rnacentral:rRNA from 1 species